UCAAUAUUUUCUUCACGACAGAACCCAAAAAACCCGAACGCCAACCCCAUUCUUCUCUCCAUGAUCUUUCUUCUCAGCGACGAAGACCUACAACGAGGAGACACAUGGCGAUGACGACAUACGACGAGGAAAUCCACUACGACGGAGACCCACGACAUCUUUUCUUUACCAAAACUCUGCAAAAAUUGCAAUGAUUCUUGUAGGCUAAGGUAAAAAAGAAGGUUAAACAUUGAAGUGUCAUCAGGUGAGGCGAGAUGAGGCCGCUGCUAAGUACUAGAAGUGUCGUGUGUUAGUAGUAGUAGUUAGCUUAAGUUUUGCAAUCCCUUAAGUUAUAAGUUGUACGCUUGUGUUGUAAUAGGAUUUUUAAUAAAAGGAUCACUAAUUUUUAAAUCGUUCAUAGUCCUACUGCAUAGCAGAAGUUUUCACCAGCAUGGUUACGCCGAAGGUUUAAGUUAAGUUUAAAGGACCUUGGCGAUCUGACGUUUCAUCUCGAAACGUUGGUUCGCACAAGUCAUAUCCUCACUCGUUACGUAGAAGGCCCGUUCCAAGGGAGUUUGUGACAUGUUAUAUGAAUCUUAAUUUGUCGUCCAAGUAAGUAUCUAGACUUAGUCCGAUUUCUUAUAUAUAAAAAAUCGAUGAACCAAUCUGUACGAUCUA